UACGUAGGGUGCGAGCGUUGUCCGGAAUUAUUGGGCGUAAAGAGCUCGUAGGCGGUGUGUCACGUCGGCCGUGAAAACCUGCAGCUUAACUGUGGGCGUGCGGUCGAUACGGGCAUCACUGGAGUUCGGCAGGGGAGACUGGAAUUCCUGGUGUAGCGGUGAAAUGCGCAGAUAUCAGGAGGAACACCGGUGGCGAAGGCGGGUCUCUGGGAAGUAACUGACGCUGAGAAGCGAAAGCGUGGGUAGCGAACAGG
rnacentral:rRNA from 1 species